UAGGGAAUUUUCCACAAUGGGCGAAAGCCUGAUGGAGCAACGCCGCGUGCAGGAUGAAUGCCUUCGGGUUGUAAACUGCUUUUAUUAGUGAAGAAUAUGACGGUAACUAAUGAAUAAGGGUCGGCUAACUACGUGCCAGCAGCCGCGGUCAUACGUAGGACCCAAGCGUUAUCCGGAAUUACUGGGCGUAAAGAGUUGCGUAGGUGGCAUAAUAAGUGAAGCGUGAAAGCGUGCGGCUCAACCGCAUAUCCGCGUUUCAAACUAUUAGGCUUGAGUAUGAGAGAGGUAGAUGGAAUUUCUAGUGUAGGAGUGAAAUCCGUAGAUAUUAGAAGGAACACCGAUGGCGUAGGCAGUCUACUGGCUCAUUACUGACACUAAGGCACGAAAGCGUGGGGAGCAA
rnacentral:rRNA from 1 species